rnacentral:rRNA from 1 species
GAUGAACGCUGGCGGCGUGCCCAAUACAUGCAAGUCGAGCGAACGGACGAGAAGCUUGCUUCUCUGAUGUUAGCGGCGGACGGGUGAGUAACACGUGGAUAACCUACCUAUAAGACUGGGAUAACUUCGGGAAACCGGAGCUAAUACCGGAUGAUAUUUUGAACCGCAUGGUUCAAAAGUGAAAGACGGUCUUGCUGUCACUAAUAGAUGGAUCCGCGCUGCAUUAGCUAGUUGGUAAGGUAACGGCUUACCAAGGCAACGAUGCAUAGCCGACCUGAGAGGAUGAUCGGCCACACGGGAACUGAGACGCGGUCCAGACUCCUACGGGAGGCAGCAGUAGGAAAUCUUCCGCAAUGGGCGAAAGCCUGACGGAGCAACGCCGCGUGAGUGAUGAAGGUCUUCGGAUCGUAAAACUCUGUUAUUAGAGAAGAACAUAUGUGUAAGUAACUGUGCACAUCUUGACGGUACCUAAUCAGAAAGCCACGGCUAACUACGU